CUUCAUCAUGAUCCCGGUUUUUGUCCCUUCUCUUCAACUCAGUGGAAACUGUCGACACGAGUCCUGUAGUAGAACCUGCUCAGUAUCCCAAAGAGUUUAUGGAUAUCUUUAAAAGCAUCCCACAACCACAAGCUGACAAAGAGCCAAAGCGAUAUGAUGACAUUGCUAUGCCAAAAAUCUUAAAGAGGAAUGCAGACCCGUGCACCAUCACAGGCUGCAAGUGGUUCAAAUCCGGAGAGUACGUCUACACCGUACUACAUCGACACUAAUUACUGUGCCACGCCCCUUUUACAGGAAGUCCCGCCUUAGAGGACAGGAAGUCCCGCCUUAGAACACCGUAAGUCCCGCCUUAGAUGACCGGAAGUCCCGCCUUACACCCACCCCAUCCCUCCCUCCCUCCUUUCGAAUGUGACGACGUGCCUCCUCCUCCUC